AGUAACAGAACCUGUGUGCAAGAGCUAGGUGAAGGACCUCUAGCACUAGGGAGCUCUGUCCACUUCUCUGAGGAAGUGAGGCCACGUGUGGGGUACCGCAACCAAUUCAUCAUUGCCUUCUCCAGCUGCUGGAGACAGGGCACCGGAGGGUGCACUCCAGGUUCAGGUGGCAGUGUUGAAGCCGAAAGCUUCUAAAGAAGUGGUUUCAGAAAAAUUAAGAGUUGAAUGUAUAUGAGUAAGCAAACGUAGGAAUCCAAAAAACCACAGCCUGGGACAGAUCAAGCCUAGUACCUUUCCAGCACUUAAGAAGAGUUCAUGCCCAAUCGAUUCACUAUUCAUCUUGAUUCCAUCAUGAAGGUAAACUAAAUUGCCAUUAAACAAUAAUAAAACUCAAUCUACUGCUUUGAUCUGCUUUUAAGAUCUAUAUCAAUAAUAUCAUACAAUAGGAACUCUCUGGUGUAUGUCUUGUUUCACAGGCAAUUAGUUGAUCCCUUGAAUAAAUUGAGUAAUAAUUUA
rnacentral:lncRNA from 1 species